rnacentral:lncRNA from 1 species
UUCCCUAUUGCAAUAACAUCUUUAUUUAAUUCCAUAGGAUUGGUUUGGCAUGAGCAAGAUGUUCAAUGGUACAGGAGCCAUAGAAGAGUUGUCGUGAAAAAGUGAUGAUGAAGAUCUUAGAGUUACAAUUAGUAUCAAGAAGCCAAAGUGGUGCAUUUUGAAUCGGGAACAAAGAUAGUUUGUAUGGGAUAACAAGAGUAGGAGGAAGAUAUGGG